AAAACCUCACCUGAGAUACUCAUUUAGCAGCAGGACACUGAAGAGGUCACGCCUCACAUAGUGUGGAAAUCAGAUGGACAACACAACUGAUCAAGAUGCCGGAUAAUCAUCAUGCUCUGCAGGACUCUGAAGAGGUCAGUUAGAUUCUUGUUUGCUCCUCGAUAUUCACACACGCCUCACAUAGUGUGGAACUCAGAUGGACAGCAAAACUGAUCAACGUGCCUGAUAAUCAUCAUGCUGAACCUAUAAGGCUACAAUGGAUUUUAAGCACGCUACAGAGGCUGUUGGCAAUCGGUCCAGGCCCUCUCCGGAUCCACACCAAAGAAACACAAAGGACCGCAGAGCAGAAAUCUCUUCAAUCUCCAACUUCAUGAUCUGAAAGAAUUGAAU